GAUGAACGCUGGCGGCGCGCCUAACACAUGCAAGUCGAACGAUUAAAGCACCUUCGGGUGUGUAUAAAGUGGCGAACGGCUGAGUAACACGUGGGCAACCUGCCCCUUUCAUUGGGAUAGCCACGGGAAACCGUGGAUAAUACCGAAUACUUCGAGACUUCCGCAUGGAAGACUCGAGAAAGCUCCGGCGGAGAGGGAUGGGCCCGCGGCCUGUUAGCUUGUUGGUGGGGUAACGGCCUACCAAGGCAAUGAUGGGUAGCUGGGUUGAGAGACCGACCAGCCAGAUUGGGACUGAGACACGGCCCAGACUCCUACGGGAGGCAGCAGUGGGGAAUCUUGCACAAUGGGCGAAAGCCUGAUGCAGCGACGCCGCGUGCGGGAUGAAGGCCUUCGGGUUGUAAACCGCUUUCAGCGGGGACGAGGCGAAAGUGACGGUACCUGCAGAAGAAGCCCCGGCUAACUACGUG
rnacentral:rRNA from 1 species